GCCUAGUUAGCUCAGUCGGUACAGCAUUAGACUCUUAAUCUCAGGGUCGCGGGUUCGAGCCCCACGUUAGGCG
rnacentral:tRNA from 1 species